UUAUACUGGAAGAUAAAGUGAAGAACUUUUACACUCGCCUGCCAUUCCAAAAACUGAUGGGGAUAUCCAUUAGAAAUAAAGUGCCCAUGUCGGAAAAAUCUAUUUCUAAUGGGUUCUUUGAAUGUGAACGACAGUGUGAUGCGGACCCAUGCUGCACUGGCUUUGGAUUUCUAAAUGUUUCCCAGUUAAAAGGAGGAGAGGUGACAUGUCUCACUCUGAGCAGCUUGGGAAUUCAGAUGUGCAGUGAGGAGAAUGGAGGAGCCUGGCGCAUUUUGGACUGUGGCUCUCCUGACAUUGAAGUCCACACCUAUCCCUUCGGAUGGUACCAGAAGCCCAUUGCUCAAAAUAAUGCUCCCAGUUUUUGCCCUUCGGUUGUUCUGCCUUCCCUCACAGAGAAAGAUUCACAUAUAUCUGGCCAAACGAACAACUCCAUGUUUUCCAAAAGGCUUGGAGAACAUACCGGGUGCCGCCUCUCCUCUUUCCCUUUGUGUUUGUCAUUUUGGCGAAUUACUGGAAGAUGGUGGUUCCAGUCGAAAGCCUUUUUGGCCAUUUUUAACAGCUGAAAAUAAACCUUGAAAUAAACAUUUUCUCCUUUAACUGAUGUCUGGGAAGGAAGAAAGAAAAAAAGAGAAGAAAGGAAAUAAAGAAGGAAGGAGGGAGGGAGAGAGUGAAGGAGGGA
rnacentral:sRNA from 1 species